ensembl:lincRNA
CCCCGCGGCGACCCGGAGGCGCGGAGCGUGCACCAAGGCUCGGCUCCCCCUCCCGGAGUGGCCCGUGCGGGAGCAGCUGCCCGCAAGGCCCCCGGCCCGGGGGUGCAAGGGCCCCGCCUCGGCCUGGGCCCCGGGCGCCGUGGCCCCCAGCGGAGGGGAAGGGGACAGAGGACGGGAAGAAGCUGUAAACAGCCCCAGCGUCCGGGCCUCGCCUCGAAGAGCCCCGCUUCCCAGGCCCCGCCGCGGGCCGCCCAGGACCCCGGCCCGCCCCGGGGCCGCGCCGCCCGGGGCCUGGGGCACCGGAGGGGAGUCAGGGUCCCUCCCCAGAAGGCUCGGGCGGCUCGCGGAGCGGCCCCGGCAGCAGAGAAGGGGGAAGUCAGGACUUACCUGUCAUUACUUUCUACGCCAUCUUGGAUCCACUUGUCAACGUCCCCACAAAGCAUUAUGGAGGUAGAGACCCCUCCCCUUGGAAUGUGGCUUUGGGCUCCGCGGGACCCUCCCCGUUAAGAGUCCGGGCUGUGGACUGUGACUUCCCGGCGCAGGUAACUCAGUCGCCCACUGCGGGCGCGGGGCGGGGCGCGGAGGCGCGACAGGGCCCGGGGGAGGGUCCCCGGGAGGGUCUAGGAGAAGGGUGCUCCCGCAGCGGUCCACCUGCCUGGUUCCUACAGGACAGCGAGCCCCGGCGGCGGGGCCAGGGGUGGAGCGCGGGCGCCGCUGUGGCUUGGGGGCGGGGAAGGGGGGGGGAUACGGAGUCGCCCUGCGGCGACCCGGAGCGCUGCUAGUAGAACCCGAGCCGGCUGAAACCCGGACGUUCUGCUGGGCUCACCACUCUGGCCUGUUAGGGUUGCAGAGACCCCAGCAUCAAUCCAGUAGCCUAAGUUCCCCCAGAAACAGAGGUUUGUUCUUCAAUCCACGCACAUUCUCUUCCUAGAGCCUCCGGUGUCCGCUUUGCUAACUUUGGAGACCUGCUCUGAUUGCUGUUUUUUCCCCCCCUUUUAUUUUCCCAAGAAAGUGUUGGUAUACAAAAAGGUGUCCAGAAGAAAUUCUCCAAGACUUUUGGACCUAGGGUGUAUCUCAGUGAUAGAGUGGGUAUUUAGUAUGUCUCAAGGCGCUGGAUUCUAUCCCCAGAACCAAAAAUAAAGAAAGAAAAACAAAUAAAGAAAUGCUGCGAGGUAUCAAAGUAUUCGGUACAAAAUGCUGUUGAAUGGCUUUGCAGUUAGAAGAAAUCGCGGGUACCAACGUUAACCCCGCCCCCACUGCAUUCCUGUUUCGGUGCUUGGGGAGGACCCUAGGUUGGCCCUAAAGUUCUGCACUCCUCUGGAUCUUACCAGAAGUCUCUUUAGGAACUAGUGUGGUUGCAGACACAAGCCCUGCCCCCGGGGAGCCAAAAACUCCACCGGGCAAUUGUCUUGGCCAGAGGAGAAGAGUGAGGUGUGGACUCAUUAAGGGAUUGGCCCGGGGUCACUCGUGAGGGAGGGAGCAGGUGAGUCACUCCCAGCCACUGAGAACCGGCUUGCAGAGGAGGGACCUCCCCUGAGUCACUGCUUCGCUGAGCUCCCGAGAAGCUCAGAAUGAGUUGAGAAACUGAAGCCUGGAGCCAAGUUUUUUAGAGUUUCAAAGCUCCUGUAGCCACUAGGGAGGGGCUAGGCAGCGCUCCCUCCCACCCCAGACCUCUGUAAUGCAGUUCCAAAGUCCUCUUUCCCCCAUACCCCAGUUCUCACUUAUUUAGCCACUGGUAUGCACUGAUUUAAUGAUUGUCUUGUGUUUACAUGGCACCUUUAAAGAUGAGAUCUGAGCUACCUUGUAAGUAAACAUUAACAAAAUCAGGGCAAGGACUGGACCUCUCAAGCAUGCUUCUUUGGUAAUCUUCCUUUGCUUGCAAAGGCCUUGACCUAAAGAAAUGCUCCAUUCAAGUGAUCACCUGACCCAUUUACUACCUUCAGUGUGUGUCCCCGCCCAUCCUUGUCUAAGACCCUAUUACCUAUGCUUCUUCCCUCUGCCGCCCCACCCCACCCCACCCCUUCCCUUAUAGUCCGUUAAGCCUGUGGCCAACCCAGUGACCUUAGUGAAAUAUAAGUAGAUCUUGUGACUCCUCCCCUUAAACCUACCAAAGUCUUUCCAUCAUGCAUAGAAUAAACCCAGAGCCUGCAAGAUGGGCCAGGCUGACCUUCUGUCUUCCCCUGCAGUUCCCCACAUGUCCUUACUGCCAGAAUCCUGUUCCUCCAAUUCCCUGCCUGUCAUCAUCUUUUCAUCCUUCAGGUUUACCUUCUCAAGGAGGACCUCUGUGAUGCCUUAAGUAAAGCAGGUCAUUCUGCAGGAUCCUGCCUCAUAUUAGAAAGUAUCUUGCUAUGUCUUUGCUGUUUAUUAUCUGCCCCCUUAGAGUACAAGUUCCCUGAGGGCACAGUCCUCCUCUAACCUAUUGCUCUCAAUGCCUAGACCAGGACCUGACAUCCAGAGAUGCUUAGCAAAUAUCCGUUGAGUGAAUGACCAAGCUGCUGCCAGGGCAAGCGGAUGUUGGUAGACAGGAGUGCUGAAGCCUGAAGUGAACGGACCUUCAUUCUCUUCAGAUCACUCUGACCAUGUACAACUAGAGGUGGCCAUAUAGGAAAACAGGCCAUUCAGCCUCCAUUAACUUAGAUGUAUUCUGCUCCUGAUCUGAUGGACACAUGCAGUACCAGAUAAUUACCCCAUCAUGUCCCGCUUCUCUCCCCGCUAUUACCCAUGACCAUACCUCAGUUUUCUACUACUUAAAGAGUCCCAAAGGCUUCUCUCUCUCUUCUCUCUCUUCUCUCUCUCUCUCUCUCUCUCUCUCUCUCUCUCUCUCUGAAACCAUAGUCCUACAUAGUCCACCUCCUCUCCUCUCUCUGAUAUCCUCUGUCACCCGUGCUCUUCGACAGCCACAAUGACCUUUUUUUUUUAAGGAGGAGAGGGAGAGAAAGAGAGAAUUUUUUUUUAAUAUUUAUUUCUUAGUAUUUGGCGGACACAACAUCUUUGUUUGUAUGUGGUGCUGAGGAUUGAACCCAGAGCCACACGCAUGCCAGGCGAGCCUGCUACCGCUUGAGCCACAUCCCCAGCCACAAUGGCCUUUUUUGAGAUCCACAAGUCACACUUUUGCCUUCUUCAACUCCUCACUCCAGUGAGCCCCUCUGUCACCAUUCUAUUUAAAAUUAAAAUAUUUCUACAGACUCUAUA